GGUAUUGUUUGCCCCACAUAAUGAGCCCCGGAAACUUAUAUUGUGCAACAAACAAACAGAUA
rfam:Carnobacterium sp. CP1, complete genome.